CUUUAAAGUCUGACAACAUCUUGAGAAUAAGCAGUUUUCUCUAAUCAAAAUGAAUUCAAAAUUAUUCUGAGCAUGUGCAAAUGCAGUAUUUUAGAAACACAUUUCUGCUGGACACUGGGACCACACUCCAAAAACUGGCAUGGAAUAAUAUAAGAUUGAGUGGACUGAUGAGACGCUUCUUGGUGCAGGGGAGCAACAUAAUUCUACCUAACAGGUUCAACAGUUACGACAUGCAGGUCUGUGAUAAGAGACUUAAACAAGAUACCCUAAAAAAACAGCUAGAGGAAGUUCUUGAGAUGGAAAGGAAAUGAUAAAGGAAGGAAUUUUAAACCAUCAAAAAGGAUGAAAUCACAAAGUGAAAAUCCAGGUUUAUUUGCUAGGAGGGCUCACAGGACUCUCAUGCAUUAAUAAUCAUAGCUUUGAUGUAUUAUGAUGAAAGAUACAAAGCGAAAUCAGCAAAAGGAAAAGAUACAUGGGACAAAAUCCAGAGGAAACCAGACAUUGGACAACAAGAUAUGCGGGGUUGUGAUACCUGAGGAAAUGAGAAACAAUCUGAGUCCUGUGGUUGCUUUAGCUUACUGUCUGAAGUUGGCUUUUAGGCCACAGCACAAAAAUGAGGUUAUGCAACACUGGACAAUUAAAAAUGUUCCAUGCCUCACUUUCCCUACUGGUAUAAGAGCUCAUUAUUAUCCUAAUAGAACAAGUUGUGAAGACUGGCAUUGAAAUUCUCCAGGUGAACCCCUGAAGUGAUGGGAAGCAGAGUGACUUACAUUUCGCCUUUCUCCUCACAGGAUAUCUCUGAGUAACGUUUCCGCAGGCAUUUAUUGAAACUCUACAAUGUGGCAACAACUUGCUAGACCACCAAGUACAAAGAUGAAUGAGCUUGACACCUACCAUUAAAGAAAAUGAAAAUUAUAG